UACGGAGGAGGCUAGCGUUGUACGUAAUUACUGGGCGUAAAGCGCACGUAGGCGGAUUGUUAAGUCGGGGGUGAAAUCCCGGGGCUCAACCCCAGAAUGGCCUCCGAUACUGGCAAUCUUGAGGUCGGGAGAGGUGAGUGGAAUGGCGAGUGUAGAGGUGAAAUUCGUAGAUAUUCGCCGGAACACCAGUGGCGAAGGCGGCUCACUGGCCCGAUACUGACGCUGAGGUGCGACAGCGUGGGGAGCAAACAGG
rnacentral:rRNA from 1 species